AUUGAACGCUAGCGGGAUGCCUUACACAUGCGAGUCGAACGGAGUGGCGAACGGGUGAGUAAUGUAUCGGAAAGUGACCAGUAGCGGGGGAUAAAUACGCGAAAGCGUAGCUAAUAACGAAUAAUAUUGGAGCGGACGAUAUCGGAUUAGCUAGUUGGUGGGGUAACGGCUCACCAAGGCGACGAUCCGUAGCUGGGUUGAGAGGCCGACCAGCCACACGGGUACUGAGACACGGCCCAGACUCCUACGCGAGGCAGCAGUUGGGAAUUUUGGACAAUGGGGGAAACCCUGAGCCAGCCAUCCCGCGUGUGCGAUGAAGGCCUUCGGGUUGUAAAGCACUUUUGGCAGGAAAGCGGUACCUGCAGAAUAAGCACCGGCUAACUACGUGCCAGCAGCCGCGGUAAUUC
rnacentral:rRNA from 1 species